AACGAACGUUCGCGGCGCGCCUAACACAUGCAAGUCGAGCGAGAAAGGGCUUCGGCCCCGGUACAGCGGCGCACGGGUGAGUAACACGUAGGCAAUCUGCCCCUGAGUGGGGGAUAACCUUCCGAAAGGAGGACUAAUACCGCAUGAGACCACGACCCCGCGAGGGGAUGAGGUCAAAGCCGGCCACUUCACGAAAGCUGGCGCUUGGGGAUGAGCCUGCGGCCCAUCAGCUAAUUGGUAGGGUAAUGGCCUACCAAGGCGAAGACGGGUAGCUGGUCUGAGAGGAUGAUCAGCCACACUGGAACUGAGACACGGUCCAGACUCCUACGGGAGGCAGCAGUGGGGAAUCUUGCGCAAUGGGCGAAAGCCUGACGCAGCGACGCCGCGUGAGUGAUGAAGGCCUUCGGGUUGUAAAGCUCUGUGGAGGGAGACGAAUAAGGCAUGGCUAACAUCCAUGUUGAUGACGGUAUCCCUUUAGCAAGCACCGGCUAACUCUGUGCCAGCCGCCGCCGUAA
rnacentral:rRNA from 1 species